ACCUCUGCAAUAGGCGAAAGCUUGACAGGGUUACUCUGAGUGAUGCCCGCUAAGGGUAUCUUUUGGCACCUCUAAAAAUGGUGCAGAAUAAGGGGUGGGCAAGUCUGGUGUCAGCCGCCGCGGUAAUACCAGCACCCCGAGUUGUCGGGACGAUUAUUGGGCCUAAAGCAUCCGUAGCCUGUUCUGCAAGUCCUCCGUUAAAUCCACCCGCUUAACGGAUGGGCUGCGGGGGAUACUGCAGAGCUAGGAGGCGGGAGAGGCAAACGGUACUCAGUGGGUAGGGGUAAAAUCCAUUGAUCUACUGAAGACCACCAGUGGCGAAGGCGGUUUGCCAGAACGCGCUCGACGGUGAGGGAUGAAAGCUGGGGGAGCAAACCGGAUUAGAUACCCGGGUAGUCCCAGCUGUAAACGAUGCAGACUCGGUGAUGGGUUGGCUUCGAGCCAACCCAGUGCCGCAGGGAAGCCGUUAAGUCUGCCGCCUGGGGAGUACGGUCGCAAGACUGAAACUUAA
rnacentral:rRNA from 1 species